rnacentral:rRNA from 1 species
CCUAUGGGGGGCUGCAGUGGGGAAUAUUGGACAAUGGGGGGAACCCUGAUCCAGCCAUGCCGCGUGUGUGAAGAAGGCCCUCGGGUUGUAAAGCACUUUCAGUGAGGAAGAACGCCUGGUGGUUAAUACCCAUCAGGAAAGACAUCACUCACAGAAGAAGCACCGGCUAACUCCGUGCCAGCAGCCGCGGUAAUACGGAGGGUGCGAGCGUUAAUCGGAAUUACUGGGCGUAAAGCGCGCGUAGGUGGCUUGAUAAGCCGGUUGUGAAAGCCCCGGGCUCAACCUGGGAACGGCAUCCGGAACUGUCAAGCUAGAGUGCAGGAGAGGAAGGUAGAAUUCCCGGUGUAGCGGUGAAAUGCGUAGAGAUCGGGAGGAAUACCAGUGGCGAAGGCGGCCUUCUGGACUGACACUGACACUGAGGUGCGAAAGCGUGGGUAGCAAACAGGAUUAGAUACCCUGGUAGUC